GAUGAACGCUGGCGGCGUGCUUAACACAUGCAAGUCGAGCGGGCAAUUUAUCUAGCACUGAUUACUUCAAAUGGAAAUCAUAAGUGUAAUCAUGAAUUUCUACCUUUAAUAAAGAAAAAAGAAAUUCAUGUACGCAAAUAGUGAUAACACAUUUUAGUGGAGUGAUGAGUGCUGGAUAAAUUGCUAGCGGCGGACGGAUGCGUAACACGUGGGUAACCUGCCCCUAUCACUGGGAUAACACACUGAAAAGUGUGCUAAUACCAGAUAAUAUAAGCUUUUGGCAUCAUUAGCUUAUCAAAGAAUUUCGGAUAGGGAUGGGCCCGCGUCUGAUUAGCUAGUUGGUGAGGUAACGGCUCACCAAGGCAACGAUCAGUAGCCGACCUGAGAGGGUGAUCGGCCACACUGGAACUGAGACACGGUCCAGACUCCUACGGGAGGCAGCAGUGGGGAAUA
rnacentral:rRNA from 1 species